rnacentral:misc_RNA from 1 species
GAUGAAGAACGUAGUGAAAUGCGAUACGUAAUGUGAAUUGCAGAAUUCAGUGAAUCAUCGAAUCUUUGAACGCAUAUUGCGCUCUCUGGUAUUCCGGAGAGCAUGCUUGUUUGAGUAUCAGUAAACACCUCAACUUCCAUAUCUUUUUUGAAAUGGGAGUUGGACUUGAGUGAUCCCAACGCUUUUCCUCACCGAAAAGUGGCGGGUUACUUGAAAUGCAGGUGCAGCUGGACUUUUCUCUGAGCUAUAAGCAUAUCUAUUUAGUCUGCCUAAAAACAGAUUAUUACCUUUGCUGCAGCUAACAUAAAGGAGAUUAGUUCUUGUGCUGACUGAUGCAGGAUUCACAAAGACAGGCUUCGGCCGACUUUGUAAACUCGAUCUCAAAUCAAGUAAGACUACCCGCUGAACUUAAGCAUAUCAAUAAGCGGAGGA